UUCUCUCGAAAUCUGUAGACAUCUUGAUUUUUCCCACGCUGUCUGUCAGGUCUCCGCCGCCACUCGACGCCAGGGCGCCGGGCCUUGUGGGUUGUGCUGCUCCUCGGACGGCUUCGCACCAGCCAGCGCCCCCUCUCUCCUGCAGCACUCUGAUCUGCACCCCCUGAGGGGCUUCCACUGUCCGCGGGGUGAGAAUGCCCCUGGGAGUGUCACAUGACUGUCACCCCAUGUGUGUGAGAGGUGUCCUCUGGGAGAGCAUGGACCCUGAGGUCCCAGGAUUGUCAGCUGACCUCUGUCCUGUGUGCCCAGUGGCCCCAGGUGACGUGUCUUCAAGAAGAGGCUGAGCUGUGGUGCUUGUAAGACAGGGUCUCUGUCACCCAGGCUGGAGUGCAGUGGUGCGGUGAUGGCUCACUGCAGCCUCAGUCUGGGCUCAAGUGAUCCUCCACCUCAGCUUCCCUGGUAGCUGGGACCACAGGUCUCAGCCUUAGAUCCAAGGACAGUCCAAGGAAGUCCUAAGACCGUGGAGUUGGUGACCUGGGAUCUGGGUUUGCUGGUAUUUCUCACCAUGAAUCUCUUGGUGGUGUUUGUGGGCACCAGAGGGGCAGAGAAUAGAGAGUGAGGCUACCACAUGAAGCGUCACCAGAGCUGCUCCCUGCUGCCUGCUCAGAGCACCCUGGAUCCACUGUUCAAUCUGCACAAGAUUCGGGGUCCAGACAUGGGAGACUUCAGCUGCCUCGGAGGACCGUGGACAGGGAAGGCCAGCCUCGCAUCCCUCUGUCCAUGCCUGGAAUGACUUAACCAAGAGUUUUAUUCUUGAAUUUGUAGCUGUUGUUCACUUUUUACCCACCCAUUCAAUAAACCUUACAGAAUUG
rnacentral:lncRNA from 1 species